AGUUGUGAGGAAGGAGAAUGUUGGACGGAAUAGAAGAAUGGAGAAUGAGAGUUUCAGGAGGGGGUGGUGGCGAAUCGGAUGAGGAGAAAGGAAGAGGUUGCCCAAUGGAGAUAGAAGGAAAUGAAGGGAAAGGAGAGAGAUGAGUGGCACCCAACCAAGACCUUCAUCCCCUUCACCCCUGUACCUACGUACUCGAUCGGGGGUGCCAUUGGGUUCGAAGCAGUUUCCGGCGAUCCUCACCUAUUUUUCGAAGAUUUUCACCCAUUCACCACCACCAAACCUCAUCAUUAUAUCCCAACAUCCAAUUCUAGACAAAAUUGACACGAAAUGGUGGAGAUUUCACGAAGAAUACCAUGUGGGUGCCGCGGAAGACUUGCCCAAAAUCUACCAAUUCUGAAAUGUUUUCCUUCAAUAACCACCACCAAAACACUCCUCAAGAGGUCAGGAACAAUGCCCAAUCAAUGGUUGGAGCGUCGGAGUUGAUUUGAGGACGAAUCAAAAACACCAAAAUUCUAGAGUUCAUGGUGAUUUGAGGCUUUUCUCGGCCAAAUUGGACUUGGCCACAGGCGACGAUCAUUCGUGACGCCUUGAUAUUGGUGUUAGGGAGUUGUAGCGCAGACUCCAGUCGAUUACCCGGUGCUGAUUGUCCACUGGAUCGGAUUUGGUAGUUGACCCGGUUGUGAUGAUUACGAUGAUUCAAUUAGCUUACAUGGAGAAGGCGGAUUCCGAUUUGGCUUCACGGAGAGUCAUGACUUGUAGAGAAUAGCUUAUAUGAUCGUUCACCUAAGGCCUCAUGUCGAAGAGUGCUGGGCUUAUUUGCAAACUGGUUCAUCACGUACUUGUUAUGUGGAAGAAUGCUGACCUGAUCUUAGAGCUCGUUCAUAACACUCUCUUUGCGUGGAAGAGUGCUGGCUUAGUCAGAAGGCGAUCCCUUUUGGUGAAUUGGAAGAAAACAGUUCCGAGGUAUCCUUCGUGAGAUUUCUUCUAUCAGGGUGGUUGUAUUUGACUUCUUAAUAGUUUUAAUCAAGUCUCAGUACUCUUCAUGUUUGUGUUGGCGGUUUCUUUAAUUUGUGAUCGUUUCAGUUUCAACGAGAUUUUACUUUCGUGUCAUGUCUGAGAGGUGGUCUGUGAAUUGGUUUACUUUUGUCCAUGUACAUCUUACAAUGCUGUUUAUACU